GGAGUGGAUUGGAUUGUGUUGUGGUGGUGCAGGAACAAACUGGAUGUUAGAGAACUUGCAAUUCAUUUUGGGUGUGUUCGAAUCAUUCCUGUUGUGCAAAAAGUUUAUACCUCAGUGAGGCAGCGGUGGAUUCUGAGAAUGCUGUAGCUGCCGUAAAUGUAAGUACUUGGAGCACCAAAUGAGAGUAUUUGGCUGCUGUAUAAUUAGCACAAAAACUUCCUGUAUUUGGAGCACUGCAACAUCCUAGAACUCUUUCAAUGAGGAAGCCCCGUUACUGUUCUUUAGGCCAUGGAAAGUGCCAAUGUUAUGAAGUGAAGCCUAAUUUUGAAGACAAAAGCUAAGAAGAGCAGGAGAUCAGUGAAUAGAACUUGACUUGGAUUUUUUUCUGUUCUCCUAUUUUGUAGAUACAAUUAGCAUUAUUAGACCCAUUUAGAUUGUUAUGGGAUUAUAACAACUAUCUAUUAUGAUUAAUUUUAUGUUCUUUUGGUCA